AUUGAACGCUGGCGGCAUGCUUUACACAUGCAAGUCGAACGGCAGCGCGGGCUUCGGCCUGGCGGCGAGUGGCGAACGGGUGAGUAAUGCAUCGGAACGUGCCCAGUAGUGGGGGAUAGCCCGGCGAAAGCCGGAUUAAUACCGCAUACGACCUGAGGGUGAAAGCGGGGGACCGAAAGGCCUCGCGCUAUUGGAGCGGCCGAUGUCGGAUUAGCUAGUUGGUGGGGUAAAGGCUUACCCAGGCGACGAUCUGUAGCUGGUCUGAGAGGACGACCAGCCACACUGGGACUGAGACACGGCCCAGACUCCUAAGGGAGGCAGCAGUGGGGAAUUUUGGACAAUGGGGGCAACCCUGAUCCAGCCAUGCCGCGUGCGGGAAGAAGGCCUUCGGGUUGUAAACCGCUUUUGUUCGGGAAGAAAUCCUCUGGGCUAAUACCCCGGGGGGAUGACGGUACCGGAAGAAUAAGCACCGGCUAACUACGUG
rnacentral:rRNA from 1 species